rnacentral:rRNA from 1 species
CGCCGCGGUUAGACGAGGGACUCAAGUUGAUAGCCCCCGGCGUAAAGCGUGGUUAAAUGAAACAAAAGAAUAAAGCCGAAAACAUCUCUAUGCAGUAACAAGUAAGUUAGUAGGAAGAACAAUUACGAAAGUAGCUUUAAAAAAUUGAUGCCACGAAAGCUGGGGAA